rnacentral:lncRNA from 1 species
CAUCAUUCAUGUCACCAGUAUUUGGAAUAUGGGGCUAUAUGUUUAUAAUGAUAAAUAUUUAUUAAUUACCAAAAAAUUAUGAGAGUUUUGCACAAAGCAACGAUUUUGAUUUCAUCCCUUAAAGCCAAAUAUCAAACCCAAGACCCAUAAAUUUAAUUGGCAGAUCCUGUUCUGUUGCUCUAUCCGGCCCGGCCAUUAACAAAUGAGAUUGUAUCCCUCAUCAUGUGUCCGCUCUUCCAGUGA